CCGGCACGGGUGAGUAACGCGUAUGCAACUUACCUAUCAGAGGGGGAUAAUCCGGCGAAAGUCGGACUAAUACCGCAUGAAGCAGGGAUCCCGCAUGGGAAUAUUUGCUAAAGAUUCAUCGCUGAUAGAUAGGCAUGCGUUCCAUUAGGCAGUUGGCGGGGUAACGGCCCACCAAACCGACGAUGGAUAGGGGUUCUGAGAGGAAGGUCCCCCACAUUGGUACUGAGACACGGACCAA
rnacentral:rRNA from 1 species